rnacentral:rRNA from 1 species
UACGUAGGGUGCGAGCGUUGUCCGGAAUUAUUGGGCGUAAAGCGCGUGUAGGCGGCUUUGCAAGUCGGGUGUGAAAGCCCUCAGCUCAACUGAGGAAGUGCGCCCGAAACUGCAGAGCUUGAGUACCGGAGAGGAUGGCGGAAUUCCCGAAGUAGAGGUGAAAUUCGUAGAUAUCGGGAGGAACACCGGUGGCGAAGGCGGCCAUCUGGACGGAUACUGACGCUAAGACGCGAAAGCGUGGGGAGCAAACAGG